AGAGAGGAGAGCAUGAUAGGUGACAUAUAUUGAGUGCUUAUUGGUGAAGCACUUAAUGGUGAUAACAGCUAUUGACUUAAAUGCUUAUUCUAUGCUGAGCACUUGACAAGUGUCAUCUCCUUAUCCCAAAAACAAUGCUCCCAUUUUAGAGAAGAGUAAUAUCAGAUGUUGAGACACUAAGUAACAGCUGGGGAGGAAAGAAUUGUGAUUUGCCUGAGAUCUAAUGGGUAAGAAAGCCUGAAUUCUAAUAUUACUCUGCUAUGAUGCUUCUACUUUAGGUCUUACAGGGCCCUGAGCAACUGAGGACCAAAAGAAGACAUCCAACACUGGGGGUCUGGCCAUAGACACGGAGCUCUGAAGAGUGAUGGAUCAGAAGUCUCGGUCCAAGAAUUAGUUCUGCACUGCCUCAACUACAAGCAGCUAUGGAAAUGUGCUUCAUUGGUUGAGUUGAUGACCAAACCUGUCCAAGGAGUAUCUGGAAUCUGCAUGCCAAGAGUUUGAACAGACCCAAGUAAGAGCCACACCAAGAAUCUGGGUACUGGAGAGAGAGCAGUAUGAGGAUGGUGACUGCCUGGGAAUGGGGUCGAUUGUCAAGUGGGAUGCAGAAGAGGUGCUAACUCUACACACUUCUCUC
rnacentral:lncRNA from 1 species